UACAGAGGGUGCAAGCGUUAAUCGGAUUUACUGGGCGUAAAGCGCACGUAGGCGGACAUUUAAGUCAGGGGUGAAAUCCCAGAGCUCAACUCUGGAACUGCCUUUGAUACUGGGUGUCUUGAGUAUGGAAGAGGUGAGUGGAAUUCCGAGUGUAGAGGUGAAAUUCGUAGAUAUUCGGAGGAACACCAGUGGCGAAGGCGGCUCACUGGUCCAUUACUGACGCUGAGGUGCGAAAGCGUGGGGAGCAAACAGG
rnacentral:rRNA from 1 species